CAGCCGCCGCGGUAAUACGUAGGGUGCGAGCGUUACUCGGAUUUACUGGGCGUAAAGCGUGCGCAGGCGGCCCGUUAAGACAGGUGUGAAAUCCCUGGGCUCAACCUAGGAAUUGCGCUUGUGACUGGCGGGCUCGAGUACGGUAGAGGGGGGUGGAAUUCCUGGUGUAGCAGUGAAAUGCGUAGAGAUCAGGAGGAACACCGAUGGCGAAGGCAGCCCCCUGGGCCUGUACUGACGCUCAUGCACGAAAGCGUGGGGAGCAAACAGGAUUAGAUACCCUGGUAGUCCACGCCCUAAACGAUGGGUACUAGCCGUUUGGUGCGCGAGAGCGCUGAGUGGCGAAGCUAACGCGAGAAGUACCCCGCCUGGGGAGUACGGCCGCAAGGUUGAAACUUAAAGGAAUUGGCGGG
rnacentral:rRNA from 1 species